AACAAAAAAUGAUGUGAUCACACAGAAACCUGUAGGUUCUAAAUUCUACUGCGUUCAACAUGGCAACAAAUUCUGUCAGUGUUUUUUACCUGAACCAUCAGCUUUGACGUACAUCUCAGCUGUCUGUUUCAAGAUCUGCACCAGAGAGACUUACGAUGUAGUUCUGCAGAAGGAGCUCCACGGACUCUCUCCUCCCAUACUUGAUGAUCCAAGAUUUCAGCUUUGACUCUGCAAGAACCAGCAGUGAGAGCAGACGAAUGAAAAAAAUGGAAAAUACACUGUUAUGGUAAGUAGAAACAGAAAAUGCUGAUUAUGUAAGAAACACACAGACGAAAAUGUCCCCUAUAUUCAGAUUUCAC